rnacentral:rRNA from 1 species
GAACCUGCGGAAGGAUCAUUACCAGGAAACGGCGCCCUCACCGGCGCCGGUUUUCACACCACUGUGUAUCAUACCUUUUUUGUUGCCUUCGCGGGCGCCCAGCGGCCGCGAAAGGACGCCCAAACCACCGUUUUAGAUGGCAUCGUCUGAUUUCAAUCUUAAAUGAAAAUACAACUUUUAACAAUGGAUCUCUUGGCUCCGGCAUCGAUGAAGAACGCAGCGAAAUGCGAUAGCUAGUGUGAAUUGCAGAUUUCAGUGAAUCAUCGAGUUUUUGAACGCACAUUGCGCCUCUUGGUAUUCCUCGAGGCAUGCCUGUUCGAGCGUCGUUACGCCCCCCUCAAGCGCAAGCUUGGUGUUGGGGAUCGCCCCUGAGACACGGCGGCGGCCCUUAAAUGCAUCGGCGGUGCUGGUGUCAGCCCGGAGCGCAGCAGACAUGCGGCUUCCAGGCGGACCAGCGCCCGCCGGACAACGACCCCCUUCGUACCAACGUCGACCUCGAAUCAGGUAGGGAUACCCGCUGAACUUAAGCAUAUCA